GAAAACAGCUUAAGUCAAUUCCAAAGAAAAUUCCACGAGCUACAGGAAAACUGGACCUGUCCAAUAAUAAGUUGCUGAACUUGUCAGUAGGGGCCUUUAGUGACAACACGAAGCUGGAACAUCUGGACUUGUCCAACAACCAGUUACAAUAUUUACCACCAGGAGCGUUUGCUGACAUUGAGGUUUCCCCCUGGGAAGAU